GCUGGUGCCUCAACAGCGACAUUCAAGGUUUCCUGCAGCUUAUCACUCAGAGUGUUUGCGCAGUCAAACUAUUCAGGAUAAAGAAUAUAUUGUAAGCUACUUGAACAAUUCAAACUAAAAAGCAUCGUUGGAACUGAAAAUCUACCUGCAAAACCAUUCAUGGUUUAUUCUGCUGUCACAGAUGUUCUUAGUGGACGCUGCACAACUAUAAAAGGUCCAGAAAUUUACAAUGUCAAGAAAUCUACUGUGUUUUUUUAAAAAAUCACAGCAUACUUAUGCGAGUGUCAUGGCGGCCACAUCUAUCAAUAGACAAGAUCAUCACCUUAAAAUAUUCACUUCCAAACAAGAAGGCCAGCUUGUUUCGUAUUUAAAGGAAUGCUGCCUUUUCAAUCAUAGCCUCUCUACAAAAGAGACAAAGAAGCUAGCGUUGUCAUAUGCAAUUGCAAAUAAUCUUAAUAUUCCUGAAAGUUGGAAAGAAAAAGAAGAGGCGUCAAAAGAGUGGCUGGGAGGUUUUUUAAAACGUAAUCAGUCGUUGUCAACAAGGAAACCAGAAGCCACCAGUCAAAACCGCGCUGCUGGAUGUAAUGAGCCUGUUGUGCAAAUAUUCUACGAGAAAUUAGACGAAUUAUGCGUCAAGCACAAAUUUCCAGCACACAGGGAUCGGAAUUGAGAUGAAACCGGAAACCAUACAGUUAUGCCACCGAUAGAAGUCAUAACACCAACAGGAAGGAAACAGGUUCAGGAAACAGUUUCUGCGGAGAGAGGGUAAAAUGUAUAACUAUGCUAGUAUUUGUUAGUGCCAGUGGUUCUACGAUUCCACCAAUAUUCGUCUUUCCUUGCAAGAAACCAAAUCCCAAUCUGUUACUAGGCACUGUCGUUUGAUCGUUAUUAGGAUUAUAUCAUGAAUCUGGUUGGGUGACUGGGGGAAAUUUUCCCGAAAGCUUAAUUCAUUUCCAAUACCACGUGAAGGCCACAAAGAAGGAUCCAGUAUUACAGCUAAUGGUAAUUCAUUCCAGUCGCCUUGAAUUUCCAUGUGUGAAAUUUGCAAAAGAAAAUGGGAUUAUCUUACUAACUUUCCCCGCACUGUUCAGACAAACUGCAACCUCUUGACGUUUCAGUGUAUUUCCCAUUCAAUCGGGCAUUGGGACACAGCCUAAAUGAGUGAUUACAAGCUAAUCCUGGUCAACACAUUGGAAUAAAAGAUAUUGCCGCUCUUUCACAAGUUCCAUUUGGCACCAAAAUUGUUGCCGAAAACAUCAUUGCAGGAUUUAAAAAAUCAUGGAAUUUGGCCGUUUAAUAGAAAUGGAAUUACUUCGUCUCAAUUCACUCCUAGUCGAGUAACGGAUAGACCAGAUCCAACUCAGCCUACAACCACCACUAAAGACGUCACCGAUGAGGCUUCCGCUGGUUCAGCAAUUGAGAUAAACAACGUAAAUUCCACAAACGGUGAUGAUGUGAGAUUCUGGAGAAUAUUCGACCGUUUUCCAAGGUAAUACCAUCCAAGGGUUCACGCAGGGCGUCUGGUAAAUUAGGAAGUAUCGUAUCCUGCAUGGAAACUUGGACAGCUUUUGGGGUUCUACGCAGGAUACUCGUAAGAACCACCUAGCGGCUGUCCCAGUUUUUAUGCAAGAUACUGUACACGGAUCUUGAUAGAUUUACCAGAAAUCAGAAAGAUUGAAGAAGAUUACAUGAAGAAAAAAGAUAAGGAGAACAAGAAAGAUGCAGUUAAACGUCGUUUACUUCCAUUGAAGGAAGUAACCCAACACCCAAGUAACAUUCCUGCUACACGCCCUUACAGUUAAACGCAGGAUCCAACGGGAAAACAAGAACAAAGAGGAUAAGGCAGACAAAGAAAACAUCCAAGAGCAUUCUGUUACCGAGGAAGAACCACUUCGACUCGUUCAAGAUUCGGUCGUGUUAUAAAGUAUUCAAGCCUAACCUGAAACACAAUGUGUGAACAAUUUUGAAACACAACGUGUGAACAAUUUUGAAACACGAGUAAUAUAUUCAUUCAUUUAUUUAUUUCAAUAAAGAAUUAUCAAUACAGAAUCAUUCAAAUGAA